rnacentral:rRNA from 1 species
UCCCUCAGAAUGGGAGGAAAGCAUUCGCAGAGUGUAAAGGCACAAGGGAGCUUGACUGCGAGACUGACAAGUCGAGCAGGGACGAAAGGCGGGCUUAGUGAUCCGGUGGUUCCGCAUGGAAGGGCCAUCGCUCAACGGAUAAAAGCUACCCCGGGGAUAACAGGCUUAUCUCCCCCAAGAGUCCACAUCGACGGGGAGGUUUGGCACCUCGAUGUC